UAAUUGCUGCCUUUGAAAAGGUCUUCACAUGAGUCUUUCGCCUCUUCCACACAUAACGUCUUAUAUCCAAGGAUUUAUUUUUCUAGGCCAAACGACUUUGCCUUCAUACAAUAUUUUGUACUUUCAAACCUACUAGAGCAAACUAAAUUUUCUUCUACUUAGAUGCUAUAUCUAUUGAAGAUAGCAUGUUCCUUCUGCCACUAUUCUAAAGUCAUGUCCUAUAAUAGUCAUUUUCCACAAUAUAUUGACAUUUUUUCGACCAUCCUCACAUUAAUUUAUCAAGUGGUAGAUGAGAGCUGAAAGAGAUACUUGCAAUUUGAUGAACUUCUUGGUGAUUAAGUAGAAAUAUUCCAUAUUGCUAUGUGACAUGUCAAAUGCUAAUUAACACAUGUGGGUG
rnacentral:lncRNA from 1 species